GCCUGCGUUUGGGGUUGUAUGAACAUUAGAAAUUCUUCGGCGGUGCACGAAACAAACCUCGCGUUUCAAGCAUCUAAUACUCACUGACUCAAUCGCGAUGAGACUAAUGUGAUUUACAAUAACCAUGCGGCUAAUCCAUUUGCAACUUCAGAAGAUCUUCUUGGUCUCAAACCCUUAGUUGAAGGUUUGUUUCUUUAUCCCGAUCAGCGAAGAUUUAGUGACAACUACGUAUGGAUCCGUGUCCAGGAAGAGAGAUAAAAGAUUGUUGGGGAGGAAACUUUGAACAACAAAGAAAUUAUUAAACAAUAGAGGUUGUAUGAACCAAAUAUUGAAUUAUGCAUUUAUGCUGUUCAUGAAGUAUGUAUUUCCCAAAUUCAUCAACACCUAUUGGAUAUAUAGAUUCGUUUGAACGGCGAUCGGAAAAUCCUAGCUCUAUACAGAGAGAGCUUAUCACAAAAAUUUGGUCUUUUUGCAAAAUAUACGAUUGUCUAGUAGUUUCGUGAAGAUGUAUCAUCUUCGAGUUCGAAACUUCAGUAUGGCUUAAGAGAUCUCUUUUGUUUUCCAACAGAAUAAUAAAAUUAUUCAAAAUUUGAUGUAGCGGCCCAUUUUUUCCUCAUGUAUGUGGUCUUAUAAAAU